rnacentral:rRNA from 1 species
AGUGAACGCUGGCGGUAGGCCUAACACAUGCAAGUCGAACGGCAGCACAGUAAGAGCUUGCUCUUACGGGUGGCGAGUGGCGGACGGGUGAGGAAUACAUCGGAAUCUACUUUUUCGUGGGGGAUAACGUAGGGAAACUUACGCUAAUACCGCAUACGACCUACGGGUGAAAGCAGGGGAUCUUCGGACCUUGCGCGAUUGAAUGGGCCGAUGUCGGAUUAGCUAGUUGGCGGGGUAAAGGCCCACCAAGGCGACGAUCCGUAGCUGGUCUGAGAGGAUGAUCAGCCACACUGGAACUGAGACACGGUCCAGACUCCUACGGGAGGCAGCAGUGGGGAAUAUUGGACAAUGGGCGCAAGCCUGAUCCAGCCAUACCGCGUGGGUGAAGAAGGCCUUCGGGUUGUAAGGCCCUUUUGUUGGGAAAGAAAGGCAGCAGGUUAAUACCCCGCUGUUCUGACGGUACCCAAAGAAUAAGCACCGGCUAACUUCGUG